GGUGUAGCAAUACACCGGAAGAUUUAGUGGCGAACGGGUGAGGAUCACGUGAGAAACGUGCCCCAGACUCUGGGAUAACAAUUGGGAACGAUUGCUAAUACCGGAUGACGUCGGAGAAUCGCAUGAUUCACUGACGAAAGAUAUUUCGGUUUGGGAGCGUCUCGCGGCCUAUCAGCUUGUUGGUGGGGUAAUGGCCUACCAAGGCAACGACGGGUAGCUGGUCUGAGAGGAUGAUCAGCCACACUGGGACUGAGACACGGCCCAGACUCCUACGGGAGGCAGCAGUGGGGAAUCUUGCGCAAUGGGCGAAAGCCUGACGCAGCAACGCCGCGUGCGGGAUGAAGGCCUUCGGGCUGUAAACCGCUUUCAGCAGGAACGAAAAUGACGGUACCUGCAGAAGAAGGAGCGGCCAACUACGUGCCAGCAGCCGCGGUGACACGUAGGCUCCAAGCGUUGUCCGGAUUUAUUGGGCGUAAAGAGCUCGUAGGCGGUUGAGUAAGUCGGGUGUGAAAACUCUGGGCUUAACCCGGAGACGCCAUCCGAUACUGCUCUGACUAGAGUUCAGGAGGGGAGUGGGGAAUUCCUAGUGUAGCGGUGAAAUGCGCAGAUAUUAGGAGGAACACCGGUGGCGAAGGCGCCACUCUGGACUGAAACUGACGCUGAGGAGCGAAAGCAUGGGUAGCAAACAGGAUUAGAUACCCUGGUAGUCCAUGCCGUAAACGGUGGGCACUAGGUGUGGGUUCCAACUAACGGGAUCCGC
rnacentral:rRNA from 1 species